GUAUUAAAGGUGUUGCCUGCCCAGUGAAGCAUCUUCAACGGCCGCGGUAUCCUAACCGUGCAAAGGUAGCGUAAUCAUUUGUCUUUUAAAUAAAGACUAGUAUGAAAGGCUAAAUGAGGACAAAACUGUCUCUUAUAACCAACCAGUAAAACUGAUCUCCAAGUACAAAAGCUUGGAUAAACACAUAAGACGAGAAGACCCUGUGGAGCUUAAAACUAACCCUAUAUUAAACAAUAGCAUAAGUUUUAAGUUGGGGCGACUUCGGAACAAAACAGAACUUCCGAGCACAGAGUCAACCACUCUCACCAAGACCAACAAGUCAAAGAAUAACAGCGACCCAGUCUCACUGAACAACGAACCAAGUUACCCCAGGGAUAACAGCGCCAUCUUCUUCAAGAGUCCGUAUCGACAAGAAGGUUUACGACCUCGAUGUUGGAUCAGGACACCCACAUGGUGCAGCAG
rnacentral:rRNA from 1 species